rnacentral:tRNA from 1 species
GCGCCCAUAGCUCAGGUGGAUAGAGCAGCGGUUUCCUAAACCGCAGGUCGCAGGUUCGAAUCCUGCUGGGCGCA